rnacentral:rRNA from 1 species
UCGGGAAUUUUGGGCAAUGGGCGAAAGCCUGACCCAGCAACGCCGCGUGAAGGAUGAAGUCCCUCGGGAUGUAAACUUCGUAAGAAUAGGAAGAGUAAAUGACGGUACUAUUUGUAAGGUCCGGCUAACUACGUGCCAGCAGCCGCGGUAAUACGUAGGGACCAAGCGUUGUUCGGAUUUACUGGGCGUAAAGGGUGCGUAGGCGGCAUGUCAAGUCACUUGUGAAAUCUCCGGGCUUAACUCGGAACUGCCAAGUGAUACUGAUGUGCUAGAGUGCAGAAAGGGCAACUGGAAUUCUUGGUGUAGCGGUGAAAUGCGUAGAUAUCAAGAGGAACACCUGAGGCGAAGGCGAGUUGCUAGGCUGACACUGACGCUGAGGUACGAAAGCUAGGGGAGCGAACGGGAUUAGAUACCCCUGUAGUCCUGAGCGGGCUGGCAAG